GAGUUUUGAGUAUGUUAGUACAUUUACCUUCCAAGUAAAAAGAUUACACUUUGUAAAAAACUCA
rnacentral:tRNA from 1 species